rnacentral:rRNA from 1 species
GUCCACGCCGUAAACGAUGGAUACUAGCUGUUGGGCGCAAGCUCAGUGGCUAAGCGAAAGUGAUAAGUAUCCCACCUGGGGAGUACGUUCGCAAGAAUGAAACUCAAAGGAAUUGACGGGGGCCCGCACAAGCGGUGGAGCAUGUGGUUUAAUUCGAUGAUACGCGAGGAACCUUACCAAGGCUUAAAAUGCAGACUGACCGAUUUGGAAACAGAUCUUUCGCAAGACAGUUUACAAGGUGCUGCAUGGUUGUCGU